UCAUCUCCGGGGGUAGAGCACUGUUUCGGCCAGGGGGCCAUCCCGGCUUACCAACCCGAUGCAAACUGCGAAUACCGGAGAAUGUUAUCACGGGAGACACACGGCGGGUGCUAACGUCCGUCGUGAAGAGGGAAACAACCCAGACCGCCAGCUAAGGUCCCAAAGUCAUGGUUAAGUGGGAAACGAUGUGGGAAGGCCCAGACAGCCAGGAUGUUGGCUUAGAAGCAGCCAUCAUUUAAAGAAAGCGUAAUAGCUCACUGGUCGAGUCGGCCUGCGCGGAAGAUGUAACGGGGCUAAACCAUGCACCGAAGCUGCGGCAGCGACACUGUGUGUUGUUGGGUAGGGGAGCGUUCUGUAAGCCUGCGAAGGUGGCCUGUGAGGGUUGCUGGAGGUAUCAGAAGUGCGAAUGCUGACAUAAGUAACGAUAAUGCGGGUGAAAAACCCGCACGCCGGAAGACCAAGGGUUCCUGUCCAACGUUAAUCGGGGCAGGGUGAGUCGACCCCUAAGGCGAGGCCGAAAGGCGUAGUCGAUGGGAAACAGGUUAAUAUUCCUGUACCUGGUGUUACUGCGAAGGGGGGACGGAGAAGGCUAUGUUGGCCGGGCGACGGUUGUCCCGGUUUAAGCGUGCAGGUGUGUGUUCCAGGAAAAUCCGGUUCACUUUAACACUGAGGCGUGACGACGAGGCACUACGGUGCUGAAGCAACAAAUGCCCUGCUUCCAGGAAAAGCCUCUAAGCCUCAGGUAACAUCAGAUCGUACCCGAAACCGACACAGGUGGUCAGGUAGAGAAUACCAAGGCGCUUGAGAGAACCCGGGUGAAGGAACUAGGCAAAAUGGUGCCGUAACUUCGGGAGAAGGCACGCUGACACGUAGGUGAAGCGGUUUACCCGUGAAGCCGAAGUCAGUCGAAGAUACCAGCUGGCUGCAACUGUUUAUUAAAAACACAGCACUGUGCAAACACGAAAGUGGACGUAUACGGUGUGACGCCUGCCCGGUGCCGGAAGGUUAAUUGAUGGGGUCAGCGCAAGCGAAGCUCCUGAUCGAAGCCCCGGUAAACGGCGGCCGUAACUAUAACGGUCCUAAGGUAGCGAAAUUCCUUGUCGGGUAAGUUCCGACCUGCACGAAUGGCGUAAUGAUGGCCAGGCUGUCUCCACCCGGGACUCAGUGAAAUUGAACUCGCUGUGAAGAUGCAGUGUACCCGCGGCAAGACGGAAAGACCCCGUGAACCUUUACUAUAGCUUGACACUGAACACUGGUCCUUGAUGUGCAGGAUAGGUGGGAGGCUUUGAAGUGUGGACGCCAGUCUGCAUGGAGCCGUCCUUGAAAUACCACCCUUUAAUGGCUGGUGUUCUAACGUAGACCCGUGAACCGGGUUGCGGACAGUGUCUGGUGGGUAGUUUGACUGGGGCGGUCUCCUCCUAAAGCGUAACGGAGGAGCACGAAGGUUGGCUAAUCCUGGUCGGACAUCAGGAGGUUAGUGCAAUGGCAUAAGCCAGCUUGACUGCGAGCGUGACGGCGCGAGCAGGUGCGAAAGCAGGUCAUAGUGAUCCGGUGGUUCUGAAUGGAAGGGCCAUCGCUCAACGGAUAAAAGGUACUCCGGGGAUAACAGGCUGAUACCGCCCAAGAGUUCAUAUCGACGGCGGUGUUUGGCACCUCGAUGUCGGCUCAUCACAUCCUGGGGCUGAAGUAGGUCCCAAGGGUAUGGCUGUUCGCCAUUUAAAGUGGUACGCGAGCUGGGUUUAGAACGUCGUGAGACAGUUCGGUCCCUAUCUGCCGUGGGCGCUGGAGAACUGAGGGGGGCUGCUCCUAGUACGAGAGGACCGGAGUGGACGCAUCACUGGUGUUCGGGUUGUCAUGCCAAUGGCACUGCCCGGUAGCUAAAUGCGGAAGAGAUAAGUGCUGAAAGCAUCUAAGCACGAAACUUGCCCCGAGAUGAGUUCUCCCUGAGACUACAAGUCUCCUGAAGGAACGUUGAAGACGACGACGUUGAUAGGCCGGGUGUGUAAGCGCAGCGAUGCGUUGAGCUAACCGGUACUAAUGAACCGUGAGGCUUAACCUUACAACGCCGAAG
rnacentral:rRNA from 1 species